GGUUUUGUAGUGUAGUGGUUAUCACUCCGGAUUUUGAAACCCAAAAUUCUUCCGGCGACCCGUUCGUACUAUCUGCCCUCUCAUUCAAAUGAGAAAAAAAUUCUAAUUGUGUCACAGCGGUUCGAACCCGGGCAAGACCU
rnacentral:tRNA from 1 species